rnacentral:rRNA from 1 species
GGAGGGUGCGAGCGUUAAUCGGAAUUACUGGGCGUAAAGGGUACGUAGGUGGCCCGGAAAGUUGGAUGUGAAAGCCCCAGGCUCAACUUGGGAAUUGCAUCCAAAACUAACGAGCUAGAGUACAGAAGAGGAGAGCGGAAUUUCCGGUGUAGCGGUGAAAUGCGUAGAUAUCGGAAGGAACAUCAGAGACGAAGGCGGCUCUCUGGUCUGAUACUGACACUGAGGUACGAAAGCGUGGGUAGCAAACAGGAUUAGAUACCCUGGUAGUCCACGCCGUAAAUGGUGAGAACUGGCUGUUGGGUGUUAGGCAUCUAGUGGCGAAGCAAACGCGUUAAGUUCUCCGCCUGGGGGAGUACGGCCGCAAGGUUA